rnacentral:misc_RNA from 1 species
GGAAGUAAAAGUUGUAACAAGGUCUCCGUAGGUGAACCUGCGGAGGGAUCAUUACAGAGUUCAUGCCCUACCGGGUAGAUCUCCCACCCUAUGUUAUUAUUACUUUGUUGCUUUGGCGGGCCGUUAGGCUCCGGCCCGACUACCGGCCCCGGCUGGUAAGCGCCCGCCAGAGGACCCAAAACCCUGAAUAUUAGUGUCGUCUGAGUACUAUAUAAUAGUUAAAACUUUCAACAACGGAUCUCUUGGUUAUG